UAGUACUAAGAUAUUAGUCAAAUUAUUGUUAAAGUCUCUCCCUGAUUUUUAUAGUGAACAUAAGAGCAUCCUAUCUAAAACUAGAGUUAGGAAUAUUGAUGAGAUUCACAAAUGUGAAUUCCCUUCUUGGUUUGAAAAAAGAGUAAGUUAAUUAUUUCAUUGUAAUAUAUUGUUUACUAAUUGAUUAUACUAAAAAUUAAUAUGAGAGUUUGGAUUUUUGUAUAUUAUGCAGAUAAUUGAUGCAUAUAAUGAAAAUGUUGAAGGAAAGGACAUAAAUAUGCUUUCUUUGGCAAGGGGCCCUGAACAACGAGUAAAUUGUUAUCUAGGCUACUAUAUCAAUGGAUUUAGGUUCCACACAAGAGAUCGUGAUGCAAAUAAAAAAAUCCAAAAUAGUGGAGUUGUAAUUAAAGGGGAAGGAAAUAAUGGAGAGAUGUUAUAUUACGGAGUUAUAUUGGACAUAAUUGAACUUCGUUAUACUGAAGGGAAUAAAAUUGCACUAUUUAGAUGUGCUCGGUACGAUACUCUUCGGGAGGGUGUUGGUUAUAAAAAAGAUCAUCAUGGAAUUGUUAGUGUUAACAUGAAAUGAAAACUACAUACGAAUGAACCAUUUGUUCUAGCAUCUCAAGUCACUUAAGUUUAUUAUAUUAAAUGCUUGAAAGAUCCUACAUGGGCUACAGUAAUCGAGACAAAGCCAAGAAAUCUUUAUGAAAUGCCAGAAAAUGAAGAUGAACCAUACCAAGAAGACUAUAUAGUUCAUGAUAUAAAUGGAUUACAACAUCAACAUGAUUUUGAAGAUAUAGAUUGGAAUAAACAUGGAGUUGAAGUUGGUAAUCAUCACAUUGAAGAUUUCAAAAAAUGAUAUUUAACCAUGGCAAAGAAAGGAAAAGCUCGAGUUAGAAAUGAGGCAACAUCAACAUUGCAAGAUAACCAAAUAUUAUAUCAAAUAGAAGAAUAAAAUGUAGAAACUAAUUCCAAUCAUUCAGAAGCAUCAUCAUCAAAUCCGUCAACCAAUGAAGUAUGUUCUUCAGCUCCAGCAACCAAAAGACACAAAAAGGAUCAUGCUAUUGGGGAACAACAUAUCAGAGGAAAAGCUAAAGGUGCCAAAUCAGGAGAUGGAAUUGAGGUUUGUUAAUUAAUUUUUUGGCAAACGUGAACCAUGAUUCUAGGGUUUGAGAAAUAUGCUUUUAGAAAAUUUUUCAUAUAUUUUUAUUACAAUUUAAACAUCAUAACUAAUAGUAUUCAUUUCAUAAUGGAUAUGCAGGAUUGUAACACCAAAAGCUAUUAGUGAGAUCAUCUACUUUUCCACCAAAAAAUUAAUAGAUCAUGGAUAUCUUAUUCUGAAUAUCCAAAAUCAGAGUUGACACACUUUUUGCUUGAUAUUUGGUUGUAGGUUUCUCACAUAGACAAACUGAAGAAGAAGAAGAAGUGAAACAAGCAUUUGAAAAUUCUGUGUGAUAUCGAUAUGCUGUUUGGAUGUUGCGUAUAAGGAAACCAAUUUUUAAAAUGUACCAAACAAGAGAAGAUCACUACAAGAACCCACCUUCUUUCAUUUCUAUUAAUGUGUGGAAAGAAAUGGUAGAUAAGAGGAUGGGAGAUAAUUGGCAGGUUUGAUAUCUACAAACUUUUGAGUUUUGUUUUUGUUACUAAAAAUAAUGAAGUAUCUUAUAUUACUAGUAUGUGUACAAAACAAAAGUGACAAAAACAAAGUUAAUCGAUCAGAAUCACAAAUAAUCCACACUACUGGCAGAGUUGCGAUGGCUAAACAUAUGAGUGAUAUGGUGAUUAUGCAUUUUAUUUUUAAAUAUUUCUUUAUUUUUAUGAAUACAUAUCUUUAUUUACUUUCUAAUUAAUAUCUUUUUGAAUGAUUAUAGGUUAAAGAGACCGGUUCAGAACUAGGCCCAAUUGAUUGUUUUAAAAAAUUACAUACAAAAAAAGAUGGAGAGACUUGGCCUACUGAGAACGCAAAAGACUUAUUUGAAUAACUCUGUUUUAUAUUAUUGUUUAACCUUGGAACUAUUAAACUGAAUAUUUAUAAUUAUUUUUCAUUGUCAAGAUCAAAUGGAGAAUAUUAGGUCAACUACAACAUCUGAGGGCUCAUUGAUCAAUGAAUGGGAAAUCUAUCGCAAUGUUACAGGAGAACUUAGUCAUGGUCGUGUGCUUGGAUUGGGUACAGGUGUAAAAGGAAAAGAUGUUUAUGGUAUCAGUUCCUCUCAAACCUACGACAAAAAAUGUGAAGAAAAUCAAAAAAGGAAAGAAGAGAAAUGGAGGGGCGUUUUCAAGAAAAUGGAAUCCAUUAUUAAUGAAUUGCAGCAACAAGUACCUGUCAUGGUUCAAACAAUAUUGCAAAGCUUGGGCUUACCUAAUGUACCAAUAGCUAC